rnacentral:tRNA from 2 species
GCGGGUGUGGCGAAACUGGUAGACGCACCAGAUUUAGGUUCUGGCGCCGCGAGGCGUGGGGGUUCGAGUCCCUCCACCCGCA